rnacentral:lncRNA from 1 species
ACAUAGAGUAUAGUGAAAGGCAGAAUAGAAAAGGAGAAUCAUAUGAAGGGGAAAAGGUUAAACUAUUUUACAUGUGACUUUACUUGUCACAAUUUCUAUUAUAUUUAAGGGGCAUUUGAGAUGAAAAUUUCUCUGACCAAAUUACUUAGUCAUUGAUCCUCUCUUCUCACAUCUGGGGCUAUUCUAUUAAAGGACUGAAGGUUUAUUAAAGUGAUUGGAACACUUGGCUUCUUGCUGAGCACAGUCUGUAUAGCAGAGUCAAACUGCCUUUAUUAUAUAUGAUCCAUUCUGGGUUUGAACCAGAGGCCUUUAAAAUAGAAGGGAAGAUAAAUUAGUGUGUUGUUUCAGCCAAUUCUGACAAGUUUCUUUGAUUUCAGGUUUGCUUUAAUUAUUGGAAUUUCAGUGGCUGUGGCUUUUUAUGGCAUGUUAAAAAGAGGAGUGAGUUACAUCCAAUCCUUGAGUAAAUUGACAUGGAAGACCAUCAUUUUAUUGGUGAUGGGGGUCGUCUUCUACAACUAUGGAGCCAGAGAUGGGCCAUUAUCAUGGAGCUGAGCAAGGAUCCCAGGAGUUUUGCAGGGACUUGGGUUCACCAGCUUCAUUGUGGCUUUGAUGCAGACCUGCUUCAGUAUAAAGGAUAUCCAGAAAUAUCAGAUUGGUUACUGGUGGGCUCCAGCCAGAGAUAUUGUCCUGUACUGGCCAGAAUGGAUAAUCAUUGCUGUUCUGGAGACAAUGUGGCUCUGCCUGACAUUCCUGCUUCUGGUAUCUGGAUGCCCCAAGAACUAUUCAAAACUAUGUAG